rnacentral:rRNA from 1 species
UACAGAGGGUGCGAGCGUUGUCCGGAAUCACUGGGCGUAAAGGGCGCGUAGGCGGCUUGAUAAGGUUGCGGUGAAAGCCCGGGGCUCAACCCCGGGUCGGCCGUGGCAACUGUCGAGCUGGAGCACUGUAGAGGCAGGUGGAAUUCCGGGGUGUAGCGGUGGAAUGCGUAGAGAUCCGGAAGAACACCGGUGGCGAAGGCGGCCUGCUGGGCAGUGGCUGACGCUGAGGCGCGACAGCGUGGGGAGCGAACAGG